rnacentral:misc_RNA from 1 species
CCCGUGCCUCGACGCCGCAGCCAAAGCAGCCAUUACGUAGUGCUGUGUCCCAGGGAAGGGACGCAGAGUUCGUGAGCUCCGCGCGCCUUGAACGUUUAAAACCCAAUCUUCUGACAAUUAACUCGUGGACAGUGAUUCACAGUUGAGUCGUCACCAUGGCACCCGGUCCGACUGGAGAGCUGAGUAGACAUACCCAGGAUAUUGAGAAUAUUUUGGCUCUCAAUCCGCGGGUCACCUCCCACGCCACCUUCCAGCCCUCGGCGGUCACCAAAGCCAACAAGAAGCACUGGAAGAGGAACAAAGCCAAGAACUGCGCCAGCCACUGCGGUCUGGAGAAGAACUUCGAUGACAUCAAGCACACAACACUCAGCGAGCGUGGUGCCCUGAGGGAGGCUGCAAGGUGCUUGAAGUGUGCAGAUGCCCCAUGCCAGAAAUCAUGCCCGACGCAGUUAGACAUCAAGCAGUUCAUUUCUUGCAUCUCCAACAAGAACUACUAUGGAGCUGCCAAGAUGAUCUUCUCUGACAACCCACUUGGCCUUACCUGCGGUAUGGUGUGUCCCACAAGCGAUCUCUGUGUGGGCGGCUGCAACCUGUAUGCAACGGAGGAAGGACCCAUCAAUAUUGGUGGACUGCAGCAAUUUGCAACUGAUAUAUUCCGGCAGAUGAACAUCUCCCAAAUUAGGCCUCCACACAUACCUAAAGACUUGCCAGAGAGCUAUGAUGCCAAGAUUGCCCUUGUUGGAUGUGGCCCAGCUUCAGUUUCAUGCGCUACCUUCUUAGGACGCUUAGGUUACAAGAACAUUGAUGUUUUUGAGAAGAAUCAGUAUGUAGGGGGCUUGAGCUCAUCAGAAAUUCCCCAAUAUCGUCUUCCAUUUGAGGUCGUCAAGUUUGAAGUUGACCUUAUGAAGGACUUGGGGGUGAAGGUUCACCAUGGAAGGAAGCUUGGGAUGUCAGACAUCACAGUGAAGGGUCUACAAAAAGAUGGAUACGAGGCUAUAUUUGUGGGUAUUGGUCUUCCCACUCCGAAGAAGAUUGGUAUUUUUGCCGACCUAAACAUUGACAUGGGUUUCUACACCAGCAAGGAUUUCUUACCUUUAGUCACAGCUGCAAGUAAACCAGGAAUGUGUGCUUGCAAAUCACAGUUACCAUCAGUCAAGGGUGUGGUUCUGGUUCUGGGUGCUGGUGACACUGCCUUUGACUGUGCAACGUCUGCUCUGCGAUGCGGUGCAAAGCGUGUGUUUGUAGUGUUCAGGAAAGGCUUUACAAACAUUCGUGCUGUACCUGAAGAGAUGGAACUUGCACGAGAGGAGAUGUGUGAAUUCCUGCCCUUCCUGUCUCCGCGGAAGGUGAUCGUCAAGAACGGCCGUGUGUCAUCAAUGGAAUUUGCUCGCACAGAACAGACUGAUGAUGGCACUUGGAUUGAAGAUGAAGAUCAGAUUGUGAGGCUCAAGUGUGACUACAUUAUAUCUGCAUUUGGAUCAGGCCUGACAGAUGAAGACAUCAAAUCUGCUCUGGCUCCGGUCAAACUGAAUCGUUGGGGCCAGCCUGAUGUUGAUAACACAACUAUGUCAACCAGCGAAGCAGGAGUUUUCUGUGGUGGAGAUAUUGCUGGUAUUGCAGAAACAACUGUUGAAAGUGUCAAUGAUGGAAAGACUGCUGCCUGGAAUAUACAUAAAUAUCUUCAGUCCCUCCAUGGCAUAUUGAUACCAGACAAACCACAGCUACCAAAGUUCUACACUAAGAUUGAUGAAGUGGAUCUCUCAGUCAACAUCUGUGGGCUCAAGUUCCCAAAUCCCUUCGGUUUGGCAUCCGCCCCACCAACAACUGCCUCAGCAAUGAUGCGACGAGCCUAUGAAGCAGGUUGGGGCUUCUGUGUCACCAAAACUUAUGCUCUAGACAAGGACAUGGUAACGAAUGUAUCACCUAGAAUUGUUCGUGGCACAACUUCUGGGCAUAUCUAUGGGCCAGGUCAAGGAUCCUUCCUCAAUAUUGAAUUGAUCUCAGAGAAAACCUGUGCCUACUGGCUGCAGAGCAUCACUGAACUCAAGAGGGAUUUCCCAGAUAAGAUUCUUAUUGCAAGUAUUAUGUGCAGCUACAAUGCAGAGGAUUGGACUGAGUUAGCCAAGAAAUCAGAAGCAGCAGGGUCUGAUGCCCUCGAGCUGAAUCUCUCAUGUCCUCAUGGCAUGGGAGAAAGGGGUAUGGGACUAGCAUGUGGUCAGGACCCUGAACUAGUGCGCAACAUCUGCCGUUGGGUGCGAGCAGCAACAACCAUUCCAUUCUUUGCCAAGCUGACCCCAAAUGUCACAAACAUUGUUGCUAUUGCAAAGGCUGCAUAUGAAGGAGGAGCAGAUGGUGUAACAGCCACAAAUACAGUGUCUGGCUUGAUGGGUCUUCGUCCAGAUGGCUCUGCUUGGCCAUCUAUUGGGAAAGAACAGAAAACAACUUAUGGUGGAGUGUCUGGUAAUGCAAUUAGGCCCAUUGCAUUACGUGCUGUAACAGCUGUUGCUCGUGCUCUCCCUGACUUCCCCAUACUGGCCACUGGUGGAAUUGAUUCUGCAGAUGCUGGCUUACAGUUCUUGGUUGGAGGAGCUUCAGCACUGCAAGUAUGCAGCUCCGUUCAGAACCAAGACUUUACCGUGAUUGAGGAUUACAUCUUGGGGUUGAAGGCCUUGCUGUAUAUGCGCUCUGUUGAGUCUCUGAAGGACUGGAUGGGACAGUCACCUCCUACACCCAAACACCAGCUUGGCAAACCUCUUGAUGCUAUAAGUGCAGCCAAGGGAAAAACUCUGCCAAACUUUGGUCCCUAUAGAGAUGAGAAGGAAAAGAAGAUCGCGGAGCACAAAAUUGUUGCUGACAUACUAGAGCCACAGCCGCCUCCUCGGGUAGAUACUCGCCCUAAGUAUGGAGUGCCAUCUGUUCAAGACCUCAUUGGUAUAGCAUUGCCAAUGGUGGGCACAUAUGGAGAGCUGGACAAUAAGCAGCAGAAGGUUGCUCUCAUUGAUGAGGAUAUGUGCAUUAACUGUGGCAAGUGCUACAUGACCUGCAAUGACUCAGGUUACCAAGCCAUCACUUUCAAUGAAAAGACUCAUCUACCCCAUGUCUCUGAUGACUGUACUGGAUGCACACUUUGUGUUUCUGUCUGCCCCAUCAUUGACUGUAUCAGAAUGGUUGAGCGUGAUGGUCCAUACAUUCCCAAGAGAGGUGUCGCCUUGGAUACUGGCACUGUACCUCGCAUUCCAGCCGUUGCUCCUCCUGAGCUCUCGUAUUCCAGUUAAUUUUGUCCUAACAUUUAGCACUUUCUCUUGGAAGAUUACUUCAUACAGUUUUUAAAUUUUAUAGAUAUUGAUGCAGGUUAUCAUUAAAGUUUAUAUGCUCCAGUUACUAAAUGACAGGAGAUUUGACAAAUGGAUUUUGUGAAGAUUUAGCCUAUGAUUAUAAUAUAUAUUAUCAAAUUAAUAGUGCAUUAACCUGUCAUAUACAAAUUGAAUUUGUAAUUUUUAUAUUUAUUCAUGUUGAUGAAAUAAAGAUGUGAUGAUUAAAAUGUAAAAUUGUAUGAUUAAAUGUAUUGCAUUGUGAGUUUUCUUCUUCUGAAAUACAGUUAACUCAAGAUUGACA